GGCGGGCCCGCCUCACGGCCGCCGGGGGGCAUCCGCCCCCGGGCCCGCGCCCGCCGAAGACACACAAACGAACUCUUGUCUGAAGAUUGCAGUCUGAGUACUUGACUAAAUCAGUUAAAACUUUCAACAACGGAUCUCUUGGUUCCGGCAUCGAUGAAGAACGCAGCGAAAUGCGAUAAGUAAUGUGAAUUGCAGAAUUCAGUGAAUCAUCGAGUCUUUGAACGCACAUUGCGCCCCCUGGUAUUCCGGGGGGCAUGCCUGUCCGAGCGUCAUUGCUGCCCUCAAGCACGGCUUGUGUGUUGGGCUCUCGCCCCCCGCUUCCGGGGGGCGGGCCCGAAAGGCAGCGGCGGCACCGCGUCCGGUCCUCGAGCGUAUGGGGCUUCGUCACCCGCUCUGUAGGCCCGGCCGGCGCCCGCCGGCGAACACCAUCAAUCUUAACCAGGUUGACCUCGGAUCAGGUAGGGAUACCCGCUGAACUUAAGCAUAUCAAUAAGCGGAGGA
rnacentral:rRNA from 1 species